AUUGAACGCUGGCGGCAGGCCUAACACAUGCAAGUCGAGCGGAUGAAGGGAGCUUGCUCCUGGAUUCAGCGGCGGACGGGUGAGUAAUGCCUAGGAAUCUGCCUGGUAGUGUGGGAUAACGUCCGGAAACGGGCGCUAAUACCGCAUACGUCCUGAGGGAGAAAGUGGGGGAUCUUCGGACCUCACGCUAUCAGAUGAGCCUAGGUCGGGUUAGCUAGUUGGUGGGGUAAAGGCCUACCAAGGCGACGAUCCGUAACUGGUCUGAGAGGAUGAUCAGUCACACUGGAACUGAGACACGGUCCAGACUCCUACGGGAGGCAGCAGUGGGGAAUAUUGGACAAUGGGCGAAAGCCUGAUCCAGCCAUGCCGCGUGUGUGAAGAAGGUCUUCGGAUUGUAAAGCACUUUAAGUUGGGAGGAAGGGCAGUAAGUUAAUACCUUGCUGUUUUGACGUUACCAACAGAAUAAGCACCGGCUAACUUCGU
rnacentral:rRNA from 1 species